GCUGUUGCCCACAGAGUACACUCUAAGCCCCAGGGCUGCAUCCGAGGCCCUGCCUAUCCUCAGCUCUGUCCUCUCUGCCACCUGGAGCCAUACUCUGGCGGGACUAGAGGAUUCUGGUCCGUGCCUCUGUGUGGUGGCUCAUGGAGGUCCCUCUGCCUGGAACGCCUCUGUCCCCUUCCCUGUCUGGCCACUCCUGUGCUUCUUUCACAGCUCAGCUCUUACAAGCUUUCCAGAAAUCCCUCACCGGGCCUCUGAACUUGGGCGGACACUCCUUGCUUUGCGGCCCUGCCGUGUUCCUCAGCUCACCCCUGAACCACACUGGUUCACGGAAUGAGCUCCUGAUGGGACUCACACGGGGACUCCAUCCUCUCCAUCUUUGCGUGCCGCACCCAGCAUCCAUGACUGGCCCGAACCAAGGUCUCAUGGGAAAAAACACGAAUCAGCCACCCCGAGGGAGGCACACCGAGGUGUACAGUUCAGCGGCAUCAUCCACAUGGUUUUGCAAAUAUCACAGCCAUCCAUCUCCAGAACUUUCUCAUCUUCCCAAACUGAAAUAUGUCCCCAUUUAACACAAACUCUCCAUUCCUUCCUCCCCCGGCCUCUGGGAACCACCAUUCUGCAUCUGUCUCAAUGAGUCUGACUACUGGAGGAAUCCUUCCAGCAGUCUGCCUUCCAGCAGGGAACAUAUGCCCAGAGAAGUUGCGAUGCUUGCCUGUGGUCACACAGUCAUGUGCUUGGCACCCAGAGGAGGGAGAUGAAUCAGUCCCAGGCCCCGAAAGAGCUGUGGUCUUCAUGAGGAACAGUCCAGAAACAAGAGUGCAACGCGGUGAGGCAGGCGCGUCAGCAGGACACUCUGGGAGCCCAAACAGGGGCCGCUGUGGGGUGGCAGAGUCAGGAACCGGAAGGGGUUUCAGGUACCGCCCCCCCCCCCCCCAUCAUGGUGUCUCUUAGCAGACCAGGGAAGUAAGGAGCUUACCACACCCCUUGUUCCCGGCACUCCGUUCCAUCAGAGGACCUUCCCGCCUACUUCCCAACAGGAGUCUCACCAUAGCUGUGGUUUCUGACCUUACUCCCAACACCCUCAUCUGCCCCAGCUGUAUAAACAUUCGGGCAAAGCAACUGGGCAUAAGUGAUUCUUCUGGGAACUUCCCCGCGGCCGCUCAGGGGCACUUGUGUGCUUUUGAGUGACAUGACCCCUCCUGCGAAAGCGUGGCCCAGCACAGGCUCCGGGAAGCACCCCCCCAACCCCCACCCCACCGUGAGCCCAUUGCUGCAUCCUGGUAGGGGCCCGCACAGACAGA